rnacentral:rRNA from 1 species
AAGGACACACAAGAAGUGGAGCCUGUGGCCUARUUUGACUCAACACGGGAAACCUUACUCGGCCAGGACACUUUUAGGRUUGACAGAUUGAGAGCUCUUUCUUGAWUCAGUGGGUGGUGGUGCAUGGCCGUUCUUAGUUGGUGGAGCGAUUUGUCUGGUUAAUUCCGAUAACGAACGAGACUCUAGCCUACUAAAUAGAYUGUUCAGCUUUAUAGCCSGAAKCACCKGGUGCGUAGSUCUCSCGGGUWGCSUUGCUCGGCUCUGGUGACRUUGGCAGKGCUUCUUAGAGGGACARGSGGCGGUKCAGCCGCACSAAACARAGCAAUARCWGGKCUGUGAUGCCCUUAGAUGUCCGGGGCUGCACGCGCGCUACACUGAAGUGAUCAGCGUGCAAUUUACGUUUGGUGAUCUGUCAAGAUUGCCCAACCCGUUGAACCUUCUUCGUGAUUGGGAUAGGAGAUUGUAAUUAUUCUCCUUGAACGAGGAAUUCCCMGUMAGCGCGAGUCAUAAGCUCGCGUU